AUGAACGCUGGCGGCGUGCCUAAUCCAUGCCAGUCGAGCGAACAGACGAGGAGCUUGCUCCUCUGACGUUAGCGGCGGACGGGUGAGUAACACGUGGAUAACCUACCUAUAAGACUGGGAUAACUUCGGGAAACCGGAGCUAAUACCGGAUAAUAUAUUUAACCGCAUGGUUCAAUAGUGAAAGACGGUUUUGCUGUCACUUAUAGAUGGAUCCGCGCCGCAUUAGCUAGUUGGUAAGGUAACGGCUUACCAAGGCAACGAUGCGUAGCCGACCUGAGAGGGUGAUCGGCCACACUGGAACUGAGACACGGCCCAGACUCCUACGGGAGGCAGCAGUAGGGAAUCUUCCGCAAUGGGCGAAAGCUUGACGGAGCAACGCCGCGUGAGUGAUGAAGGUCUUCGGAUCGUAAAACUCUGUUAUUAGGGAAGAACAAAUGUGUAAGUAACUAUGCACGUCUUGACGGUACCUAAUCAGAAAGCCACGGCUAACUACGUG
rnacentral:rRNA from 1 species